GGGGCUGAUUCUGGAUUCGACGGGAUUUGCGAAACCCAAGGUGCAUGCCGAGGGGCGGUUGGCCUCGUAAAAAGCCGCAAAAAAAUAGUCGCAAACGACGAAAACUACGCUUUAGCAGCUUAAUAACCUGCUUAGAGCCCUCUCUCCCUAGCCUCCGCUCUUAGGACGGGGAUCAAGAGAGGUCAAACCCAAAAGAGAUCGCGCGGAUGCCCUGCCUGGGGUUGAAGCGUUAAAACGAAUCAGGCUAGUCUGGUAGUGGCGUGUCCGUCCGCAGGUGCCAGGCAAAUGUAAAGACAGACUAAGCAUGUAGUACCGAGGAUGUAGGAAUUUCGGACGCGGGUUCAACUCCCGCCAGCUCCACCA
rnacentral:tmRNA from 1 species